rnacentral:rRNA from 1 species
GGGAACGUAUUCACCGCAGCAAUGCUGAUCUGCGAUUACUAGCAACUCCGACUUCAUGGGGUCGAGUUGCAGACCCCAAUCCGAACUGAGACAGGCUUUUUGAGAUUCGCUCCACCUCACGGUAUCGCAGCUCAUUGUACCUGCCAUUGUAGCACGUGUGCAGCCCAAGACAUAAGGGGCAUGAUGACUUGACGUCGUCCCCACCUUCCUCCGAGUUGACCCCGGCGGUCUCCUGUGAGUCCCCAUCACCCCGAAGGGCAUGCUGGCAACACAGAACAAGGGUUGCGCUCGUUGCGGGACUUAACCCAACAUCUCACGACACGAGCUGACGACAGCCAUGCACCACCUGUACACCGACCACAAGGGGGGCACCAUCUCUGAUGCUUUCCGGUGUAUGUCA